rnacentral:rRNA from 1 species
UGGGGAAUAUUGCACAAUGGGGGAAACCCUGAUGCAGCGACGCCGCGUGAAGGAAGAAGUAUCUCGGUAUGUAAACUUCUAUCAGCAGGGAAGAUAGUGACGGUACCUGACUAAGAAGCCCCGGCUAACUACGUGCCAGCAGCCGCGGUAAUACGUAGGGGGCAAGCGUUAUCCGGAUUUACUGGGUGUAAAGGGAGCGUAGACGGUGUGGCAAGUCUGAUGUGAAAGGCAUGGGCUCAACCUGUGGACUGCAUUGGAAACUGUCAUACUUGAGUGCCGGAGGGGUAAGCGGAAUUCCUAGUGUAGCGGUGAAAUGCGUAGAUAUUAGGAGGAACACCAGUGGCGAAGGCGGCUUACUGGACGGUAACUGACGUUGAGGCUCGAAAGCGUGGGGAGCAAACAGGAUUAGAUACC